UACGAAGGGUGCAAGCGUUACUCGGAAUCACUGGGCGGAAAGCGUGCGUAGGCGGUUCGUUAAGUCUGCUGUGAAAGCCCUGGGCUCAACCUGGGAACUGCAGUGGAUACUGGCGGACUAGAGUGUGAUAGAGGAUGGUGGAAUUCCCGGUGUAGCGGUGAAAUGCGUAGAGAUCGGGAGGAACACCAGUGGCGAAGGCGGCCAUCUGGAUCAACACUGACGCUGAGGCACGAAAGCGUGGGGAGCAAACAGG
rnacentral:rRNA from 1 species